CUCGACAGGGGACACGGUGGUGUAGCAGCAGCAACGUCGUCAGCCCGGGGGGCGGGGGGGGUUGCGGCAAUCGCUUUAGGUGGAGGCCCCAACAUUUGAUUCGUCUCGCACGGUCGCACCCGCCCAGGCUGUUCUGCAUCGCGGCUCCUCCUGCCAGCUCACGUCGUUCAGCAUUCUCAUAAGAGAAACGUUUUAAACCGCGUUUGAAAUAAGCACGGGGCGCGCGCGUUGUCUCGGCCGCACGAGACAACGCCCAAUGCCCGCUCGUCAAAUACGUUCUGUGAGUGGCAGCCGCUGUCGUCGUCGUCUUCAUCCGCCGCGAUCUAUCGGCUGCUGGACGUAGGGAUUUCCAAGCCGUCGACAUUGCUCGCGAGUUUACGAUGCAGAAGGACAUCUAGCUUCCUGCACAAGAGCUGAUUCCAUCGCUCCACGUGUCUGCUGCGGUGAAUGUACUCGAGUGUGUGGCAUUGUCGCCCUCACAACAAAGGGCGGAGCGCCGGGCGGAUAAAACCCGACGAGUUGGCACAGUAGGGGGCACGGCUGGUGCAUCUGCCAGUAAUCUCAAGUCGGUCAACCCGUGGCACCUGGGUCUGUCCCGUGACCUCCUGCCAAGCAAGCCUCCGGACACUUCAAGUGGCCUUAAAGUGCACCUAGCCUGGCACAAGCGCCGUGCUGAUGUCACCGCCACUUAGUGGUGAAUGGCGGUAUUCGUUGUUGUGGGCCCUCCUCUGGCCACUGUGGCUCCUUACGAUGUAUCCUAACCCAAGUGCAGGCUAAUAAAUAUAUCAUAUCAAUUGACCGUGUUGAAAAUUAAGCGAUCUCUGCUGCUGGAAGGGCUGGUGAAAAGUGGCAACAAAAAUGAGUUUGGUGUGCAGGGUAUCAGGUGGAUUGUUACCUCGCAGCUCCAUGAGAGAUGGUGACGGCUUGGGGAAGCCUUUAUCCAGCAGUAGAUAAAGCAUGGCCGAUAUUGUAGAUGAUGAUGAUGAUGAAAAAGAAGCUGGGUAUUCCCGCACAUUUAUUUAGCAAGGAAAACGUUUUCUUUUUACUUAUAUGUGUCACUGUAUAAUUAUUAUUAUUGUUGUUGUUUUAUGUUAUUAGGCGAUGGUUUAGGGAAGUUUACGACGAGUAAAAACAAAAUCUCAUUCUGUUAAUGGAAAGUCACCCGUGUACAGCCAGGCUGUAUAUUCUCUCUCUCUCGAUAAUGGAUCAAACCAAAGCCCUGCGCGGAGUGGCCCGCGAUGGCCGUUCGGAACGUUUAAACAAAAAUAUCUA